CCCCCCCCCCCCCCCCAGAGUUUCGAUGACGCGAGGAGCAGGUGACGUCACGUGUUCCACACAAAUAGCAGUGACGUUCUGGAGAGAGCGCUCGUCUCCUUGCAACGAUGCCGGAGUCCGGGGAGGGACACGUGGUGGAGAAGUCACGUAACGCUGAUCCAAAGAGGGGGGAAAUGGGAGAGAUGUUUCUUCCUCGAAGGGUGGGGAGGAAAUGUCACGUGAUAGAGCCGAGCCACGCUCCUCCUCCGCUCCACCUCCGCAGCGAGAUGCAAAAAGUGAGCCCCCCCGGAAGACGCGAAGGGCAACAACGUUGCCAGGUGAGAGCCGGGCGCUCCGUCUGAGCAUUACAUGUCGUCAGAUUGGUCAAAAAUAAAAAUUAACUUUUCUCCAACUUUCGCUCCACGUAGAGCAAAGAUAUUUUGCAGGAAUGUAAAGUGAGGCAAGCUGAUUUCAGUAACAUAAUUUUAGAAGUAUUCUGAAGACACGUGAUUUAGCCCGUGGUGGUGCUUUAAAGGAACUGUAAAGUGAAUUUCAACCCAGGGUUAUCUUAUGAUUUUAUGAAAGCCUAGGAAGAGUACAUCUCAGUUACGAAAUAUUUCUUUUUAAAUCCCUUCUUUCUUUGAGUAAUCGAAUUUCAAAGAUUGCAUUCGAGCGCAAAGCUAAGUACUCCCUCAGACACAACACUGGGUUGGCUCGUGUCGGCUACGGCUAGUCUCGCUUUUCUAAUCCGCCUCCCGGUCUGUGGCGAAGGCGUAUUGUUGUUUUGAGGUCCACGUCGUGUGAUGUUGAUUUUUCCAAACUUGAAUGCCCUCGAGCUUGCGAUAGUCCAGCAGUCACGCCCGCAAAACGGUUGUUCGUACGAGUGCACGCGGUAGACGCAGUAUGACACGACAUCAUCCGCAGAAUCGUCGACGGAGGAUGAAUUACCGUCAUAGCAGUCACCUAGCCGCCGUGGGAAACACUCUUCAUGUGUAAUGAAAAUGUUGAGAACCUCGCAGCGGAAAUAUGGCAUUGCUCUUUCGGUUCAGGUGUCCUUGUGGCAGAUGCAUGCUGAUGCCGACGGCAGAAGAAUGCCUUUGUUGCCGCGAAAUGAGACGUUACUGAAGCAGCACAGCGGUUGCAUUUCAAGAAAUCUGUACUUUAAAAUACUGUGAUUGAAGACUGAGUUGCUCCAGGUAUCCUCUGCUACGUGAGAGGAAGCGACGAGUACGCUGUUAAGAGGAACAGCAAAGUGAACAAGAAGUUUUGGUACGUUGCCUAUAAACAGUUUACCAGGUGGCUCUGGGGACCAUUAGGAAAGCUGAAAGCACUGCAGAAAAGUCCUCGAAGCAUGUGCUGUACAUGCCAUAAGGGAAAACUUUCCUUCUGAGGCAUACAAAGGUUUUUGCCUUUUUGACGUGUGAUGCAGUAGGUGCUGUCUGACCAUGUAUAUGUCUGUUUGCUUUCACUGAGAUGAAGCUCUCAAUUUUCUUUCAGGUGCUUGAAGGCAGCAUUAAAUGCCUCCCAUCUUGACAGCAGUACACUGGAUGGUUUGAUCGUGAACACUGCUUUAUCACAACAGUAUCCCUUUCAUGAACAAUAGAGGUCUGCCAUAUACCCUUCUGGAAUAACCAGACAGCCGUUACACAGUAAAAUACAUUCUACAGACAUCAAGGCUUGUAAUGUUGCUUUAUUGAUCACUGUGUUUAUGAAUGAGCAUACAAGAGAUAGCAGUAAACAAGCAAACAAUGAAGGAGAACAUCCCCAUAUUGGUUCACACCACCGCAGCCAGAAACACAGACAAAAGGCACACACAAAACAGGACGAACUGCAACUCACGACUACUUUACUGUUGAACACACAUACACUCUUAAAUACCAGAGCAGGCACCUGUUCCCCUAUGUAUCUGACCUAUUUUUUUAGAUAACAAAAUUCCUCCUGUAUGAGGGCGAUAGAGGGAGCGCUGACACAUUUUUCUCCUUUUUCCUCAAUCAAGAAUGCUUCGUAUAUCUCUCGAUCCUGCUGUGAUCGGAGAUUAAUUUCUAUUGAGGUUUUAUCAAAGGCAGGCGAGCAUCCACAUCUAUCGCAGUGGAAUGCCAAGUGGCCCGACGGUGGCAUCCCUUUCAACAACGUCGCGUGCUCACGUAACCUAGUAUUGAUACACCUGCCCGUCUGGCCGAUGUACACUCUUCCACAGGAUAGCGGAAUACAAUAAACCACACACUGGCGGCAAUCAACCCAUCUGUUUUUGUGUUUGGUGUUACACACAUGUCUUUUUUGUCGCUUGUUCACCUUAGGGCAAAGACUAUACAACUUGCAAGGGGCUGAGAUCAAAACAGGAACAUUAUGUCUGACACCUACUUUCUUUAUGUUAUGUGCAAGUCCGUGAAAAUAGGGAAUUGAGACCGGUCUACCCUCCACCCGGCUCCCACCAAGCUUCGGUAAGCCCUUACAUUUCCGAACAAGGCACUCUGCCACAGAGAUGAGUAGAUCCUCGGGAUAACCCCCAACCCGCAUUUUUUCUAGCUGAGACUCGAAACUCCCCUGUUUCUGGCUGCGGUGGUGUGAACUUGUCAUGUACCGACUUCCCCAACUUCGGACCCUCAGUGACUAUAUCCCCAUACUGUAUUCAUAUCAAUUUGCAAGUGCUACUUCACACCAACCAGUAACGCAAUGUAUGUAUGCUUUUUUUUUAUUCUGUGCAGUGCACAGGUGUUUGCCGCAAACACGUUCCAGUCCAUAAGCUCUAAGAGAACAUAGGCUAUCACCUUGCCUAUAAUUGAUUUAUAUAUUGAUAUAGAUAUAUACCGAUUCAGCUGCGAUCGUAUCAAGGGUCCAUUUCUACGUUCCACAUUGCAACACUAGAACCCACAAAACAUUUUAUGUAUGUGGUAACAGUUACAAGAAAUCGCCUUCUUUGAGGCUUCAGAUUGUAUAUAACUCCCAUUCCGGGGUUUUUGAUCUGUUCAGUGGUGACCUAUUUGGGGUCGUACGCCAACUUCGAUGCCUCCUUCAUGAUGGGUCCAAAGCUAGGCCAGUUGUUGUCUCGCCAUCUACAUGGUUUUGUCUUUGUCGUAGUAUUUGUUUUUGUUUUAUCGUAUGUAAUUAUGGCGUUUUAAUUCAUUUCUUUGUAUUGACUGUCUGUAUGGUGCACCAUUAGGGAGGCCCUCUGGCCAUUCAUGGGCACCAGAAAAAUAGAAAUAAAUAAAUACAUAAAUAUAACACCUCG